rnacentral:rRNA from 1 species
GUUUUUGAACGCAAGUUGCGCCCGAAGCCAUUAGGCCGAGGGCACGUCUGCCUGGGCGUCACGCAUCGCGUCGCCCUCCCCACGCCUCGCCCCGGAACGGGACGAGGAUCGCGCGGGAGGGCGGAGAGUGGCCUCCCGUGCCAGCGCGCGGCCGGCCUAAACCCGAGUACCUCGUGGAGGAGGACGUCACGACAAGUGGUGGUUGAAACCCUCAUCCCGAACGCGAGUCGUGCGUUUCCCCGCUGCCGAGGAGACCCCCGACCCUCCAGCGAGCCCCCUCCGCCCGGAGGAGCGCUCGCCACGACCGCGACCCCAGGUCAGGCGGGACUACCCGCUGAGUUUAAGCAUAUCAAUAAGCGGAGGAAAAGAAACUAACAAGGAUUCCCUUAGUAACGGCGAGCGAACCGGGAAAAGCCCA